rnacentral:rRNA from 1 species
UGGGGAAUCUUCGGCAAUGGACGAAAGUCUGACCGAGCAACGCCGCGUGAGUGAAGAAGGUUUUCGGAUCGUAAAACUCUGUUGGUAGAGAAGAACGUUGGUGAGAGUGGAAAGCUCAUCAAGUGACGGUAACUACCCAGAAAGGGACGGCUAACUACGUGCAG